rnacentral:rRNA from 1 species
AACGAACGCUGGCGGCAGGCUUAACACAUGCAAGUCGAGCGCCCCGCAAGGGGAGCGGCAGACGGGUGAGUAACGCGUGGGAACAUACCCUUUGGUUCGGAAUAACUCAGGGAAACUUGAGCUAAUACCGGAUACGUCCGUAAGGAGAAAGAUUUAUCGCCAAAGGAUUGGCCCGCGUCCGAUUAGCUAGUUGGUGAGGUAACGGCUCACCAAGGCUACGAUCGGUAGCUGGUCUGAGAGGAUGAUCAGCCACAUUGGGACUGAGACACGGCCCAAACUCCUACGGGAGGCAGCAGUGGGGAAUAUUGGACAAUGGGCGCAAGCCUGAUCCAGCCAUGCCGCGUGAGUGAUGAAGGCCUUAGGGUUGU